GACGAACGCUGGCGGCGUGCCUAACACAUGCAAGUCGAGCGGAGACAGUGAGUAGCUUGCUAUGAGCUGUUUUAGCGGCGGACGGGUGAGUAACGCGUGAGCAACCUUUUCCCGACAGGGGAAUAACACACCGAAAGGUGUACUAAUACCGCAUAAGACCACGGGAUCACAUGGUUUUGAGGUAAAAGAUUUAUCGGUUUGGGGUGGGCUCGCGUCCGAUUAGGUAGUUGGUGAGGUAACGGCCCACCAAGCCGACGAUCGGUAGCCGACCUGAGAGGGUGAUUGGCCACAUUGGGACUGAGACCCGGCCCCAACUCCUACGGGAGGCAGCAGUGGGGAAUAUUGGGCAAUGGGGGGAACCCUGACCCAGCAACGCCGCGUGGAGGAAGAAGGUUUUCGGAUUGUAAACUCCUGUCCUUGGAGACGAGUAGAAGACGGUAUCCAAGGAGGAAGCCCCGGCUAACUACGUG
rnacentral:rRNA from 1 species